AGUUUGAUCCUGGCUCAGGAUGAACGCUAGCUACAGGCUUAACACAUGCAAGUCGAGGGGCAGCAUGGUCUUAGCUUGCUAAGGCUGAUGGCGACCGGCGCACGGGUGAGUAACACGUAUCCAACCUGCCGUCUACUCUUGGCCAGCCUUCUGAAAGGAAGAUUAAUCCAGGAUGGGAUCAUGAGUUCACAUGUCCGCAUGAUUAAAGGUAUUUUCCGGUAGACGAUGGGGAUGCGUUCCAUUAGAUAGUAGGCGGGGUAACGGCCCACCUAGUCAACGAUGGAUAGGGGUUCUGAGAGGAAGGUCCCCCACAUUGGAACUGAGACACGGUCCAAACUCCUACGGGAGGCAGCAGUGAGGAAUAUUGGUCAAUGGGCGAUGGCCUGAACCAGCCAAGUAGCGUGAAGGAUGACUGCCCUAUGGGUUGUAAACUUCUUUUAUAAAGGAAUAAAGUCGGGUAUGCAUACCCGUUUGCAUGUACUUUAUGAAUAAGGAUCGGCUAACUCCGUGCCAGCAGCCGCGGUAAUACGGAGGAUCCGAGCGUUAUCCGGAUUUAUUGGGUUUAAAGGGAGCGUAGAUGGAUGUUUAAGUCAGUUGUGAAAGUUUGCGGCUCAACCGUAAAAUUGCAGUUGAUACUGGAUGUCUUGAGUGCAGUUGAGGCAGGCGGAAUUCGUGGUGUAGCGGUGAAAUGCUUAGAUAUCACGAAGAACUCCGAUUGCGAAGGCAGCCUGCUAAGCUGCAACUGACAUUGAGGCUCGAAAGUGUGGGUAUCAAACAGGAUUAGAUACCCUGGUAGUCCACACGGUAAACGAUGAAUACUCGCUGUUUGCGAUAUACGGCAAGCGGCCAAGCGAAAGCGUUAAGUAUUCCACCUGGGGAGUACGCCGGCAACGGUGAAACUCAAAGGAAUUGACGGGGGCCCGCACAAGCGGAGGAACAUGUGGUUUAAUUCGAUGAUACGCGAGGAACCUUACCCGGGCUUAAAUUGCACUCGAAUGAUCCGGAAACGGUUCAGCUAGCAAUAGCGAGUGUGAAGGUGCUGCAUGGUUGUCGUCAGCUCGUGCCGUGAGGUGUCGGCUUAAGUGCCAUAACGAGCGCAACCCUUGUUGUCAGUUACUAACAGGUGAUGCUGAGGACUCUGACAAGACUGCCAUCGUAAGAUGUGAGGAAGGUGG
rnacentral:rRNA from 1 species